rnacentral:lncRNA from 1 species
UUGCGCUGUACGUGGCAUGGACAACGUGCAGCCAGGGGUGCUGGUGCCGGAGGCGCUGGGGCUGGGCAACUGGGUGAAGGCGCAGGAGUGGGCGGCGCUCCCAGACGGGCAGGCGACGUACCUGGGCAACCCGGUGCCGUGGGGCAACCUGCCGACCAUCCUGGCGAUCGAGUUCCUGGCCAUCGCCUUCGCGGAGCAGCAGCGCACCAUGGAGAAGGACCCGGAGAAGAAGAAGUACCCCGGCGGCGCCUUCGACCCGCUCGGCUUCUCCAAGGACCCCGCCAAGUUCGAGGAGCUCAAGCUCAAGGAGAUCAAGAACGGUACGUCCCAGUCCCAUCACAUAUACCCCGUUAUCGAAUGAAGAAUCAUACGUAGAUAGAACAAGCUGACGCGUUCGUCCGUGGGGAAUGCAUUGCAGGGCGGCUGGCGAUGCUGGCGUUCGUGGGGUUCUGCGUGCAGCAGUCGGCGUACCCCGGCACCGGCCCGCUGGAGAACCUGGCCACGCACCUCGCGGACCCGUGGCACAACAACAUCGGCGACAUCGUCAUCCCCAGAAAUAUCUACGGCCCUUGAGCGGAGCCGACCGGGCUGAGAGGAGAUCGAGGAGCCGGAGCGCAUGGUUUUCAUUCAUGUUUCUGAGUCGAUCCAUUGGUUGAUCACCUUGCCACGCUGGCUCUGCGCGCGCACCGUCCGUGCGUGCUGGAACUGUACAACAACGUCGGCUCUCCGGCCGGCAACCUUUGUAAUGUGUAAAGCUUAAGUAGCGGCCGCUGUUGCGAAUGCAUCCGUGUGAUCUGUAUAAAUUCUUUGCAUGAUGAUGUGUACGGAUAGUUAUCACGUGAUCACCUUAACAUUUCAUUGAGCUUAGGACAUCCCCAACGCGGCCCACCAAACAGAAGUCAUCACAUGUCCACGGACAGUCAGACUAUCAUAAUAAAGGAUAACAUAUAAAGUAGUAACAUGAAUAUGUUACUAGUAUAAGUUAUCAUCUCUAUAAUGGAUAGUAACAUAGAGAUUUUCAUCUAUUAGUUUGGGGUCCUGAUAUUCAUCAUAGUGUGAUAUAUUAGACAUCCACACACACCGUGUAUGGCGUACACAGAAGGUAGCCCACACGAAUUGUGUGUGGGAGAAUAAUAGAACUGACCACAUGUGUGGACACAACUACUUCAUGCCACACGUCCAACAAGUAUUAUCCAUCCCCAUUUGCGUGUGUAACACGAAGUAAAUCUUGUUGGAAUUAUGCCCUAGAGGCAAUAAUAAAUGUAUAGUUAUUAUUAUAAUUCCUGUAUCAAGAUAAUAGUUUAUUAUCCAUGCUAUAAUUGUAUUGAAUGAAGACUCAUUUACAUGUGUGGAUACAUAGACAAAACACCGUCCCUAGCAUGCCUCUAGUUGGCUAGCCAGUUGAUCAAUGAUAGUCAGUGUCUUCUGAUUAUGAACAAGGUGUUGUUG